UGAAUCUCUACUGUUUAGCUUUCACAAACUGAAUUUUUUUUCUUUUUACAGACAAAAUCUGCAAAUUGGAUUUUUUUCCCUGGAAACAUCAGUGUGGUUUUUCGUAAGAGGACAGCUGGAGAAAGCCAUGCUAAAUAUCUACCCCACCAAGCCUGUCAUACAUGAUGCAGCUGCUGCUGGACCUCCAUCAUUGUCCAUCUCCAGUCCAGAAGUGUCAGCAGCACAAAGAGGUGUAAACCGUCGGAGGACUCUGACCUGUUUUCUGAAGUUCCAGCAUGAGUUUUUCUGUGUGUUGGCCACGUUCUGGUCCUGUUCUGAUGUUCCUAAUGCUUUAUUAGUAUUAAAAAUGUUCACGGAGAGGGUAAGUCUUAUUUUCAUUUUCUCUCAUUUGUAUGAGGGGGUAAUUCUCCUGCUCCACAAACAAAUAACUCGUCACAACUGAUUCUGAGCGUUAGAGGGAAGACAAGUGUCACUUGUCAUUCUUAUCAAUGACUUCAUUGUUUUUAACAUAUUCAAUUACAGCAGCAGAUGAAUUAUCAACAUUAUGUGAUUAAUGGUACUAAUAUCUUUACUUUGCAUAGAGAAAGGAAUAACAUUUUUUCACUUAUUUUCUUCCAGUCCUGCCUGCAACUCUCUCCAUCCCAGCAGGAUCAGAUGUGCAGGAAAAAGUCCUGAAGAAAGCCCUCCCUGUGCCCCCUGAUCUGAUGGUCCUCCUGCCGCAGACAGACACCCCCCCACCAACAACGACUGUCAGAACCACCUCGCUGUGAGCACCCAAUCCCAGCAGGAGCUGACACCUGUUCAGAAAACACAAAGUGGGCCAUCAGCUAAAGUCCACUACACUCCACCCCCAGUACUUCCUGCUUACGAAGACGACAUCGGUCACUGGAACUGCUCGCAACAGCAGAGGAUCUGGAUGAAAACGGCGCUGCAGUCCAUGGGUCUGUGGCCGGGUUCUCCACCUGUCCCCAUCAAAGGAACAUCCCAGAAGGAAGGCUAUCACUUCCA